CUCCCUCUUCUGAGGCAGGGGAGGAGAUAAUAGAGAUCUGGGGAGACAUGCCUGGGAUUGGGGUCUCAGAAGGCAGUGCUGUUGAGGAGUCUCCACCAUGGCCUGGUCUCUAGUCUUUCUUACCCUCCUCACUCAGGGCACAGGGUCCUGGGCCCAGUCUGCCCUGACUCAGCCAUCCUCAGUGUCUGGGGCUCUGGGACAGACAGUUACCAUCUCUUGCACUGGAACCAGCAAUGACAUUGGGGGGUAUAAUGGUGUCUCCUGGCACCAACAGUAUCCUGGCAUGGCCCCCAAAACUCUGAUUUAUAAUGUAAAUAAUCGGCCAUCAGGGAUCCCUGAUCGCUUCUCUGGCUCCAAGUCUGGCAACACGGCCUCCCUGACCAUCUCUAGGCUCCAGCCUGAGGAUGAGGCUGAGUAUUACUGUUCCUCAUAUAGAAGUGGUAGCACUUAUGUGUUCGGCAGCGGGACCCAGCUGACCGUCCUCGGUCAGCCCAAGUCCGCGCCCUCGGUGGCGCUCUUCCCGCCCUCCUCUGAGGAACUCCGCGCCAACAAGGCCACCCUGGUGUGCCUCAUCAGUGACUUCUACCCCAGCGGCGUGACGGUGGCCUGGAAGGCAAACGGCAGCCCCGUCACCGACGGCGUGGAGACCACCAAGCCCUCCAAACAGAGCAACAACAAGUACGCGGCCAGCAGCUACCUGAGCCUGUCGCCUGACAAGUGGAAAUCAUACAGCAGCGUCAGCUGCCUGGUCACGCACGAGGGGAGCACCGUGGAGAAGAAGGUGGUCCCCGCAGAGUGCUCUUAGGUCCCCGACACCCUCCCCCACCCAAGGGGGCCUGGAACCACAGGACCUCCAGGAGGACCUGCCCUCCCCCCAGGGUCACCCCGGCCCUUCUCGCUGCACCCGCUCGACACUCAAUAAAAUGUCCUUUAUUCAAUCAGAAA